CGCACCGUUUAAUAUUAAUUUGGUUUGUUUUAAUAAAAAGGAGAUUAGAAAAAAAAAAAGAAAAAAAAAACAAUUGUUUAAUUAAAAUUAGAUUGCAACGUGCAGCCCCACACACCCCUUUUAGCAAACAGUGAAACCCAAUUUCUUUCUCUCUGAAUUCGCCGCCAUCCUUCUCCUCAUGUGCGCUACCUUGUGACAAUCUCUUUCCCUUCAACUCCCAUUCUUCUUCAAAUAAAAGAACCCUACAGUACCCACGUGAGAUAGGUGACAGUGAAGGAAGUGUUAUUCCACCAUAUUAGAUACACAUUCAUAUUGGAAAGAAUUCAAAUUGGAAAGCUUUGGCAUUCACGUGGGAGACCUUGGGAAUAAUAUUUGGAAACCAGAGUUGCAGAGAGGAGUACUUGGCCAUUCAAGUUGCAUAGUUUAAUUUUCUUUAAGAUUUACCGGGUGAAGAUAUGUUGGGUUGUCGCGCAUUUGCUGAGGACAGUCCAAUUGUUUCGUCAUAGCUAUUCUUCAGCAGCUGAGUAGCAAGCUGUUCCUGGAUUCAGAUUGUCAGUUGUCUUGCUGGUAGGCCUCCAUUGGCUGGUGGCCUCAUUGCUAUUUUAUUUUCUUUUGACUCUAGUUAUCUGCAGCUAUAGGGAGUCAUAGGUGAUUUUAGUUUGGGGUUGACGACAUUGUUUUAUUUUAAAAGUUGACGUUGAGCGUUGAAUUUUGGUUUUGUACCUUUCCUUGAAAUUAUGGAUUUGAAGGAUAUUAUUUAGCAGGUUAUGUUAUUUUGA